GUCACCAUCCAUGCUUUGUUCCCACACUUCCGCAUUCCUGACUCCGAACUCCUGUGUACCGACCUCCGCCUGUUCCCAGACCAACCCCAGUCAUGCACUUGGGUCCACCCUAGUGUUCUGGUUAUGACAGAACAAUCUGGCCAAGACAUGGACCCAGCCGACUCAGAAGCCAUCCGCCGCUCAUUGCAGAUCCAAGGCAGACGCCUGGCUGAGCAGGAGACUGCUCUUCAGGUGACUAACCAGAGACUUCAUGAGAUCUGUGCCCAACUGGAGCCAUGGCUAGCUUUCCAGGCUAGAGCCGCUACCACCACGCCGACGGUGGCCGCCACGGUUCCUAUCCCAGCCCAGGUUGCUCUGACUACCCCACCAGUCGUGGAUUUUCAGCGGACCGGAGCCACUCCUCUCUCCCGGGCCGAACGCUUUUCCAGCGACUCUGGGAACCUCAGACCCUUCCUCGCUCAGUGCGCUCUCCACUUUGAGCUACAGGCCACCGCCUUCCCAACAGACCACGCACGGAUUGCCUUCGUCAUUUCCCAAAUGACAGGAAGAGCAGAGGUGUGGGCCACGGCAGAGUGGAGUCGCAACUCCAGAACAUCCCACUCCUGGACGGCGUUCAUUUGCACUACCAUACAGGUGUUUCAGUACGCCACGCCGGAACGUGAAGCAGCAGCGACAUUGAUCACGCUACGCCAGGGACAGCGUCGCAUGGCUGAUUACACCAUCGAGUUCCGCAUCAAAGCAGCCGAAAGUUAAUGGAACAAGAUGGCUCUCCUCGACGCCUUCUUCCAAGGGCUAUCACCACAGAUCCGCAGCCACCUCAUCGCUGUGGACCUGCCUACCUCCCUGGAUUCACUCAUCGCCCUAGCUCUCAAGAUCGACCAGAGGCCAGCAAUCCAGGGACAAGUGGACGCGCUUAUCGGCUUCCCUGCUAACAACACCCACACCCAUGACAGAGCCUAUGCAGGUUGAAGGACUCGAUGGUCCGGCAGAGGAGCGUCUGCGACGACGGCGAGAGGGACGAUGCUUCUACUGUGGCCGCCUGGGCUACUUGGUAGGCCACAGUCCGGUCAAGCCCAAGCGCCCCGAUCUCAAGAACAGGAUUCCAGUGAGUGUGAAAUACACCGCGGCGGAAUCGAGUUGAGCGCUACUUCGGGUCACCUUAAGCACGGAGGGCAGUACUUAUUCUGCCACAGUUUUUAUUGACUCAGGCUCAGACGCUAAUCUGAUAAACCAAUGUGUAGUCGAGGCUUUGGGCGCUGCGACUUUUCAUACACAGCGGUUCCGCAAUGCAUUUGUGGCCAAUGGCAAAUUCCUCUGCCGAGUGACUCACUGUAUGCAAUCCCUGGUGAUGACAUUUCCGGACACUCACACCGAGAGAAUAAGUUUCCAUAUAUUCAACUAGCGGAGCAGCGACGUCAUCUUGGGAAGUCCGUGGCUUAAAGAACAUAAGCCACACAUUGACUGGACCACCGGUCAAAUCAGGGCAUGGGGCGAAGAAUGUAGCAAGGUGUGUUUUGUGAAUCGAGAGGAGAGGAGUUUACAGAUCGUGCCCGUUGACGUGGAGGAAUCGAGAGCCGUACCGGAGUUACCAGCAGUACCGUCCUGUUAUCAGGACCUCAAGGAGGUCUUCUCAGAGGCAAAUGCCAAAUCUCUGCCGCCACACCGUCCGUACGAUUGCGCAAUUGAGUUACUGCCCGGCACCUCACCUCCUCGAGAGAGGCUCUUUUCAUUAACAGGCCCGGAACACCAAGCCAUGAAGGAGUACGUGGAGGAGUCACGAGCGGCAGGACUCAUCCGACCAUCAUCAUCACCGGCUGGAGCAGGAUUGUUCUUUGUGAAGAAAAAGGGCACCUCGUUACGGCCCUGUAGUGAUUGCAGAGGACUCAAUAUCACUAUCAAAAACAGGUACCCUCUUCCCCUAAUCGCUACCGCAUUCGAACUGCUUCAAGGGGCCCUGAUCUUCACAAAAUUGGACUUACGAAAUGCGGCCCAUCUGGUAUGCAUCCGAGAAGGGGACGAGUGGAAGACGGCGUUCAAUACACCUAUCGGCCACUACGAGUACCUGGUGAUGCCGUUUGGCCUGGGAAACGCACCAGCGGUGUUUCAGAAUUUCAUUAGUGAUGUGCUACGGGAGAGACUGAACAAGAACGUGUUUGUGUACCUCAACGACACUGAUCUUUUCCCCGGACGAAGCAUCCCACACUGAACAUGUUAGGGAGGUGCUACAGCAAUUGCUACGACAUAAUAUAUGUCAAGAUGGAGAAGUGCAUUCCUGGGUUUCAUCUUGGCUGAGGGACAGAUUCGAAUGGUUCCCAGUAAGAUCAACGCAGUUCUCCAAUGGCCCACUCCCAUCAAUGGUAGGAAGGUGCAGAGGUUCAUUGGAUUCGGCAACUUUUACCGCAAGUUCAUCCGGAACCAGAAUGCUGCCCCCCUACACAUCCUCACUUCACCCCACAACUUAUUCAAGUGGGAUGGGACCUGUCAGGAGGCCUUCGAUAGACUCAAGUCAAGUUUUACCACAGCUCCAAUACUCAUCGUGGAAGAUCCAAAGAGGCAGUUUGUGGUAGAAGUGGACGUAUCAGACUCAGGAAUGCAGUGCUCUCCCAGAGGUGGGCUAAAGAUGGAAGAUGAAUUCACCUGUGCACCUUUCUGUCUAAAAGACUGACUCCGGCCGAGCGAAAUUACGAUUUUGGCGAUCGCGAACAAUGCCUGUCAAGACAGUGCUGGAGGAAUGUAUACACUGGCUGGAGGUAUCAAAAGUGCGGUUUCUGGUUACUCUGUCCUUCCGUCCAGGAGAUCAAAGAAUGGCAAGCCAGAUGCACUAUCUUGAAUCCAAGAAGAGCAGCGAAUGGAGCCCGUGAGUGUCCCAAUUCUUCCAGAGGCCUGCUUCGUGUGCGGGUUCACCUGGGAGAUCAAGACACGAGUAAAGGAGGCUUUGAGGGACUCUCCGGGUCCAGCCGAAUGCCCUCCCGGUCGCCUGUUCGUUGUUCCUUCACUAAGAGGGGACGUCAUUGAUUAGGCUCACACUAACAAAACCGUCUGCCACCCAGGCAUGGCGAAGACUCACUCAGUCGUGGAACAAGGGUUUUGGUGGCCAAACCUGGGGAAGGACAUCUCUAUGGCCAAUAAGACGUCUCGCCUGUGACCUAUGGGCCAUUACCGAUUCUCCCUGGUCACACAUCUUCCUGGACUUUGUCACAGGUCUACCCUGCUCCCAAGGAAACACUGUUGUACUUUCAGUCAUUGACCGCUUUUCUAAAAUGGUCCACUUUGUGCCAGCUCUGAAGAUCCCGUCCGCCAAGCAGACGACCGCGUUAAGGGGGAGGGGGGGGGGGUACUGUCAUGGUCUGCCAGUCCAGCCCUGGCUGUGCAGGUCCCCGCACACCUGCGCUGAUUGGGAGGCGCACACCUGCACCUCAUCUGCAAUAAUUAACCCUGGUAUAUAUAGGACCCAACUGUCUUUGCCAGAUCAUCGCCAUCCAUGCUUCGUUCCCGCACUCCCGCAUUCCUGACUCCGAACUCCUGUGUACCGACCUCCGCCUGUUCCCUGACCAACUCCCAAAAAGAGAGUUGUCAAAAUCUGCUGUUGCUCUGCAAAUAGCGAGAGAAGACCACGAGGCCCAGAAGCAACACCACCAACAGAAGGUGCAGGUGAUGCUGGACAGACACCGCUCGCAAAAUGAGGCAUGGCUUCAAGCCAGAGCUGAGGAGAAUAACUGAGAAAGACAUCACACCUCGAGUCUUCUGAUGCAAACCUGCUGACUCCCAUAAGAGGAGAGGCUGGAAGAGCUCGAGCGACUGAAGGAUGAGCACAACACCAUCCAGAAACGCAGCGAGCAACUUCUGUCUAUUAUGCAGCAGUUUAAAGGGAUGUGUAUACUGUGGCAGUAUUUACUUUCACGUAUUUUUAUUUCAGACACUCAAAGAAUAUUUGAAAUUAAAAAAUAGCAACAGACAUAUAUAAUACAAAUUAACCCCACACAUGCAUGAAUAUACAGGAGCGAACACACGCACACGUACGAGGCAAUUGUGGUUGAAUGACAGUAUACGAUUGUAAUCUGUAGCGAAUUAGUUUCAAUAACGUUUGAACCCAUUCACAAUGUAGUGCCUGUCCUCAUAAUAAAUAAUUAAGAGAAAUGUCAUUGUGUCGGCCACACAAUCGCCCUCCUCCACCUCCUCUCUCAGCAUUCUACAGUAGACUGGAACACAAUUAAGCAAGACAAAAAGCGUUCUGCGCCA